UGCUUUGCCCUCUUUGCUGAGCUUCAGCAGGACCAUCCAUCUUCCCUGUCUGCUCCAGAACACUGCUGCACCUACUAGCAAGGAGCGUUAUAAUCUCAGUGCCCAUUUAACAAGAAUAAAAAGCCUUCUGGGACAAUAGGUCACGGUUAUACAAUUUAGCUCAAGUAGAAAAAGGGCCUCUAUAGCUAUGAAUAUAUGAAUACUUAAAAUAUAUAUGUAACAUUGGUUAACACCGGGACACGUAAGCAUAAUAUAUAUAUAGUGCUGGGCUAACAGUUUGCUCCUUGGCUCCCUUUUCAGAAGGCUGUGCCUGUUCUGCCUGUCAGCUCCAUCCCAACAGCAAUUCGUGGCUGGAGUCACAAUUCUGCCCUGGUACAGAAGUGUUCGUCAUGGACAGAGGGACACUGAGCAACUCAAUGGGGAUUGGGAUGCAAGCAGUGUGGAUGCAGUGCCUCUGCCUGCAGCCUCGUAUCAUCAGCUGACAAAGCCCUGCAGUCACGCUGCUGUGAGCAGGGAUGCCCAAUCCUCUGAGGAGAUGCAGGUUUCAGCACCAAACCUCUGCCUGAUCCUGAUGAGCUCUCAUGGAGCACAGACCUUCGUGUUGGAGCUUUUAUGCCAAGGAGUGAGGAUUUGUUGCUUCUCCCAUCCAUUUCUGUGGCUGGAGGUGCCUUGUGAAUUGUACUUCUGAGACAACCAGGUGCCCAGAACUGCUCAGGACCAUUUGUGAAACCUAUGCUGCUGGGAUUCCAUCCUGCUGCUAAUGGAGAAGGUGACAUGCUGCUGUACCAAGGCUGUGAACGUUUAAACUGACAGCUCCCAGCCUCAGAGCUGGCUGUAGAAGCAGAAUCCAGCUUCCUCCAUACCACUGCAUCUUGACUAGGCUGGACAGAGGGAGGGCAGGGAUUGCCCGUAAGCACCACAUUGGAGAACCCUCCCUGGAAGGAUGAGAGCUUCGAAGUCCUGCAGAGUGUGUGGGCAGCAGACUGGAGGAGAGAUCAACCAUAGAACACCAUCUCCUUCCUUGCAAAUAAGCCUCAGUCCAGCCAGCAGCAAAGCAGCAGCUGCCCUAUUUCCAGGGCUGGUGGGAGUGCAAAGCCCUCUCCUCCUCAUAUUCAUCAUUUUCAGCUGCAGAUUCUGCUGUAGUCUCCAACUGCAUCUAAGUCAGGACUGUGCCAUGCAAACGGAUGGGACUCAGGGAGCAUCCCUGCACCAUGAGCUGCUGCCAGGACCUGCUCUGUGUUUUCAUGACACACAUGUCCAUGCGUCUGCAUCUAAGCCUGUUCUUGACUUGCCCAGUACACACAGGGAUGCUGUGCGUGCUCCAUGCUUUAUGUAUGUUAACUUUUUAUUGUAUCCAGACCCUCUUCCAUCACAUGCAUCAUCAGGUUGCUGACUGCUUUCCCCGUGGUGGGCUGGAAUGUGAAAACCAUUGGGCUACCAAUGUACCCAUGGACCCUGGAACACCAAUGCACUGGUGGAGAGUUAAUGAAUCACAACAUCACUUAUGCAUUAACUUCUUUGAAAUGCAAAGCACUCCCUUGAUAUUUCAGCAUUUUCCACCCAGUCCAAAGCAAAACCUGAUAGGUAGAGAACAGUGGAGAGCUGCACAAGGUAACACUUCCACCUUGUGUCUGGUACAACGAUUGCAUCAGCAUUAAUUACAAUGGAACUUGCUGCCCUUUAAAGCAAUUCAGCACAUGCUGUAUCCUCAGCUUUCCUGCUUCUGAUCGGCUCUGCACUGAACUGCUUCCUUGCAUGCAUUCAAAACAGUUUGUAAUUAACAAUCACAUUGUUUUCCUUUGAACAUCAACAGAGAUACAGAAAACAGAGAUUGAGAGCUGAGAUGUUGGUACAACUGGGUAUUAUUCUGCUUUCAUGAAAUGACUCUUCCUAUUUUGCUGCAAAUUUAGUGCUGAUGAGAAGCUGGGCCAGUGUGCAAGCAGCCGGGAGGCUUUGCUCACCAGCUCAUGGACAAAAUUCUCUCCUAUCGCUAUGGGGAAGCAGGAAAUUUGAGCUUGGAUGCCCUGUUACCUUUGCCCAUGCUGAAUGCAUUCUGGACACCACUGCCCCAUUCACAAAAUAAACUCAGCAGAAAAACCUGCAGAGAAGGAGAAGGAAAAGCAAGACUGUGCAGGCUCCUGAGCUACGCAGCGUGUUGGAGCAGAGCGGCUGCGUUUGAAGCCUUGGCUCUGUGAACAAGAAGCAGAUUACAAACUUCUUCAGUUCUGGUGCAGAGCUUGGAUGGGAGGAUUGCUCCCUCCAUCUGUUCUUCACAUAGGCAAUCUGCCUUCAAAAGCCAUCGCUGCUUAAGUAUGGAGGAAGCGUAAAUGCAGGAGCACCUGAAUAUUGUUUAACAGAUGGGGACACACAUUUUUCAGGCAGAGAUUUCCUUUCCAUUGCCCCACUUAUUUCAGAGGUGUUUUUCAGGACCAUCCUUCCAAUGCCUGGGAAUAGGAUCCCAGCCUGCAGUUUGUGGCGAUGGUAGUUAAUUUUCAGCAGCUAACUUUGCUGUGUGAACGCUCUUGUGACAUUUGUGAAAUUUGCUUUCAUCUUCUUCCCUUCCAACUAAGCUCACAUUUCUCAUCCAAGCCUUCCAGGAGGAUCACACUCUAUGCCCCACUUUCCACCCUGGGAACAAAGAGGCUGGAGUUCAUCCGUGCCGUUCUGAAACGGUCAAGCAAACCAAUAAAGCACGCAGCCAGGCUGCAGCCCAUGAAUGCCUCUGCCCAAAUGCACAUCUUCUCUCCCUGCAGGAGCUGCCCUCCUGUUGAUGAUGCUCACUUGUUCUCGCCCCUUUUGCAUCAAUGCAUACAGCACAGUGGCUUUCAGCUUCAUCAACCCAAGGGCAACUACAAGUCUUCCAGUGGGAAUGCUGUCGUAGACUGCUGAGUGGCAGAAAGGAAAUUGCUUUUCUUUGCAACUUUUGGAUGAUUCCAUGCAAACAGAUGGUGGACCCCAUACCUCAGGGGCUGCACAUUGAAGCCACCACCUCACUGAGUUGGUGAAACCAACAGAAAUGUGUCAUAUGGACCCCACAGAGCCCAUCUACUGGGAGAAGUCACAGCUGGCAAAGAGGAGGAAGAAAGAAGUGAAAAUAUAGGCACAGAGGAUGGACCUCAAAUUUCUCAGUUUUCAUCUCACUUCCCCUUCCCAUUCUUUAGUCAUCAUAUUCUUUCCGGAAGAAAGUGGCUGUUGGAAAACAGAGAGAGAAGACGACAAACACUGCUGUGGAAUUAUUUAACGAGCCAGAAUGAAUUGCAUUUGAAAUCAUUUAAAUGGGAUCUGGGAGUAUUUAACUGCAGCACAGGAACUUAACAAGAGUGGGAAAGGAUUUUGUGCUAAUUGCUGGCAAUGAUAUACCUACGGAGAGAGAACAUGCAGCAAUUAGUAAGCAAGGCUGUAAUUUCAGCCUAAGGUCCCUGCCUGCCUUGGAAUAUGGCAUGGAUUAUCUGCUGAAAGGAAGACAGGGGCCUUGGAAUGCAUGUGACCAAAGGGCAGCAGAUGAGGUUCUCAUUAAGAAGUCAUUAGCCAAGAUUGUCACACAAGAGAUGGGUCUGCUCAGACCCCACUGCACCUUUCCCAACCUGACUUGGCUCAAAUUGACAAAACUGAAGGAAACCCAAAUCCCCAUCCCAACACCUGCUGUGCUGCUUUGUCCCUUCCUACCUGCAGGCACUGAUCCUGCCAUCAGCCCUUGCUCCAAGCUAUGAGUCUACACAGAGCACAGUGGGCUGAGGACCAACUUGACCAUUGCUUGCUGGGCAAAGAAGCCAGGGCAUCCUUGGUGCUUCUGGGUUUGGGAAGCAGGGUGAGCAGGAAGCUGAGCUGGAACAAAGACCUGCCCUUCCUACAGAAAUACCCAUACAGUCCAGACUGUAUGAUGCCACUGUUCUGAACCUGCAAACGUCAGGCACAAUUGAUGUUCACCAACAUGUCCAUAACCCCAACCCCAAAAGAACCGUACAACACAGCGCCAGGUGAGACCAGGUGUUCUCACUAUGGGCUAAGGCAGAAAACUACCCUGCCUGGCUGAGCCUCUGCCACCUGACUGUGGCACACAGCCUCUGACAGCCUCUGCUCAUUGUUUUCUAUCUCUGUUCUCUCCCCACGAUGCCUCCGUCUUUGGUUUUUGUCUUUCAAUCAGUUUUCAUCUCAGUAAUUCCCAUUCAAUGGUUAGUCUCUGAUCUUUCUAAUUGAGAUCAGAGCUUCAUGUAAUAGGGAGGGGGGAGGGAGACUAUUUUUAAUUUGCUACGUUCCCAUUAAUAACAAGUUCUAAUUAAAAAACCUCCAUCUUCCAUCCUCCCAAGUUCAGAAGAAAACUCUGCGACUUCUGUUGGAAUCUUCUCCUGAUAAAUUGGUACCACAGCCUCCUAGAACAGCUGGUCCUCUUUAGCAGGCAUCGUAAUUAAUGGGAAUAAUAAAUGCAUUCAAAGCAGGUUCGUAACCUUCCUUUCUGUGCACUCAGGCUUCUCUUUGCAUUGUGAGAGACACACAUUGGCUUCACUUCACAAACAGGCCCAGCAGAGCUGCCUAAUUCUAAGAAGCCCAGGUGCCAGUGGUUGCCACUGGGCCAUCACAGCCCCUGUGAUACCCUUUGUGCAGGGCUCCAUUUACACCAGCUGCUGGCUGGGGCUGCCUUGGGGUGCAGAUCAGCUGUGCUAGUGAUGGACAGACUCUUGCUCUCCCUCUUUGCUUUUGUUCAUCGCUACUGAGUUAAUGGAUUUGUCUCAGGAGCAGCCAAACCGGGAGCCAUCAACACAGAUAUCCCCAAGAUGAGCAAUCUGUCCUGAGCAGUGAUUUCAAUUAAAGGGUCAUU